rnacentral:rRNA from 2 species
UUUAUAUGAGAGUUUGAUCCUGGCUCAGGAUAAACGCCGGCGGUGUGCCUAAUACAUGCAAGUCGUACGCACUGGCCCAACUGAUUGAUGGUGCUUGCAUCUGAUUGACGAUGGAUCACCAGUGAGUGGCGGACGGGUGAGUAACACGUAGGUAACCUGCCCCGGAGCGGGGGAUAACAUUUGGAAACAGAUGMUAAUACCGCAUAACAACAAAAGCCGCAUGGYUUUUGUUUGAAAGAUGGCUUUGGCUAUCACUCUGGGAUGGACCUGCGGUGCAUUAGCUAGUUGGUAAGGUAAHGGCUUACCAAGGCGAUGAUGCAUAGCCGAGUUGAGAGACUGAUCGGCCACAAUGGAACUGAGACACGGUCCAUACUCCUACGGGAGGCAGCAGUAGGGAAUCUUCCACAAUGGGCGCAAGCCUGAUGGAGCAACACCGCGUGAGUGAAGAAGGGUUUCGGCUCGUAAAGCUCUGUUGUUGGAGAAGAACGUGCGUGAGAGUAACUGUUCACGCAGUGACGGUAUCCAACCAGAAAGUCACGGCUAACUACGUGCCAGCAGCCGCGGUAAUACGUAGGUGGCAAGCGUUAUCCGGAUUUAUUGGGCGUAAAGCGAGCGCAGGCGGUUGCUUAGGUCUGAUGUGAAAGCCUUCGGCUUAACCGAAGAAGUGCAUCGGAAACCGGGCGACUUGAGUGCAGAAGAGGACAGUGGAACUCCAUGUGUAGCGGUGGAAUGCGUAGAUAUAUGGA